rnacentral:rRNA from 1 species
GACAGAGGGGGGCAAGCGUUGCUCGGAAUCACUGGGCGUAAAGCGCACGUAGGCGGAUCUUUUAAGUCAGGGGGUGAAAUCCUGGAGCUCAACUCCAGAACUGCCUUUGAUACUGGGGAUCUCGAGUCCGGGAGAGGUGAGUGGAACUGCGAGUGUAGAGGUGAAAUUCGUAGAUAUUCGCAAGAACACCAGUGGCGAAGGCGGACUCACUG